GAUGAACGCUGGCGGCGUGCCUAAUACAUGCAAGUCGAGCGAACGGACGAGAAGCUUGCUUCUCUGGUGUUAGCGGCGGACGGGUGAGUAACACGUGGAUAACCUACCUAUAAGACUGGGAUAACUUCGGGAAACCGUAGCUAAUACCGGAUAAUAUUUUGAACCGCAUGGUUCAAAAGUGAAAGACGGUCUUGCUGUCACUUAUAGAUGGAUCCGCGCUGCAUUAGCUAGUUGGUAAGGUAACGGCUUACCAAGGCAACGAUGCAUAGCCGACCUGAGAGGGUGAUCGGCCACACUGGAACUGAGACACGGUCCAGACUCCUACGGGAGGCAGCAGUAGGGAAUCUUCCGCAAUGGGCGAAAGCCUGACGGAGCAACGCCGCGUGAGUGAUGAAGGUCUUCGGAUCGUAAAACUCUGUUAUUAGGGAAGAACAUAUAUGUAAGUAACUGUGCACAUCUUGACGGUACCUAAUCAGAAAGCCACGGCUAACUACGUG
rnacentral:rRNA from 1 species